AUGAAUACAGUACUCUAGGUGGGAAAUGCCAAUGCUGCCUUUUCCCUUUUCUCUUGGGUGGGGCAGGAGGACGCCCUGCACUGCUUCUUCCAGCCCAGGGAGUUUUCAAGCAAAAGUAAGUGCUUCUGUGAGAACUGCAGGAAGAAGACACAUGGGAAACAGGUCUUGAAGCUGACCCAUUUGCCUCAGACCCUGACAAUCCACCUCAUGCCAUUCCCCAUCAGGAAUUCACAGCCUGGAGGGCAGUAUGAGCUCUUCACUGUAAUUACACAUGUGGGAAUGGUGGACUCCAGUCAUUACUGUGCCUACAUCCGG